UACAGAGGGUGCGAGCGUUAAUCGGAAUUACUGGGCGUAAAGCGUGCGUAGACGGUUACAUAAGUCGGGUGUGAAAGCCCCGGGCUCAACCUGGGAAUUGCAUUCGAGACUGCGUAGCUAGGGUGCGGAAGAGGGAAGCGGAAUUUCCGGUGUAGCGGUGAAAUGCGUAGAUAUCGGAAGGAACACCAGUGGCGAAGGCGCACAUCUGGCCCGAUACUGACGCUGAGGCGCGAAAGCUAGGGGAGCAAACGGGG
rnacentral:rRNA from 1 species